GAACGCUGGCGGCGUGCUUAACACAUGCAAGUCGAACGGUGAACCAGGGCUUGCCCUGGGGAUCAGUGGCGAACGGGUGAGUAACACGUGACCAACCUGCCCCUUGCUCUGGGAUAACCCCGGGAAACCGGAGCUAAUACCGGAUACGAGACCGCGCGGCAUCACGCGGUCUGGAAAGUUUUUCGGCAAGGGAUGGGGUCGCGGCCUAUCAGCUUGUUGGUGGGGUAAUGGCCUACCAAGGCGACGACGGGUAGCCGGCCUGAGAGGGCGACCGGCCACACUGGGACUGAGACACGGCCCAGACUCCUACGGGAGGCAGCAGUGGGGAAUAUUGCGCAAUGGGCGAAAGCCUGACGCAGCGACGCCGCGUGAGGGAUGACGGCCUUCGGGUUGUAAACCUCUUUCAGCAGGGAAGAAGCGAAAGUGACGGUACCUGCAGAAGAAGCACCGGCUAACUACGUGCCAGCAGCCGCGGUAAUACGUAGGGUGCAAGCGUUGUCCGGAAUUAUUGGGCGUAAAGAGCUCGUAGGCGGUCUGUCACGUCGGACGUGAAAAUCCAGGGCUCAACCCUGGACCUGCGUUCGAUACGGGCAGACUAGAGUUCGGUAGGGGAGACUGGAAUUCCUGGUGUAGCGGUGAAAUGCGCAGAUAUCAGGAGGAACACCGAUGGCGAAGGCAGGUCUCUGGGCAUUAACUGACGCUGAGGAGCGAAAGCAUGGGGAGCGAACAGGAUUAGAUACCCUGGUAGUCCAUGCCGUAAACGUUGGGAACUAGGUGUGGGUCUCAUUCCACGAGAUCCGUGCCGCAGCUAACGCAUUAAGUUCCCCGCCUGGGGAGUACGGCCGCAAGGCUA
rnacentral:rRNA from 1 species